rnacentral:tRNA from 1 species
GGCCCAAUGGUCUAGUCGUAUGAUUCACGCUUCGGGUUAAUUCCUGGUCAUGUCACGUGACUCUAAUGUGUGAGGUCCCGGGUUCAAUUCCCGGUUGGGCCC